GCGGGGGAGCACUCUUCCCUGUGUGCUCCCUCUUCAGCUCCCUUGCACGUCGCGUACUGAUACCGGAGCUGGAAGAUGACGUCAUCAGUGCAGUGCGCGAGGGAGUUGAAGAGGGAGCACACAGGGGAGAGUGCUCCUUUGCACGC